rnacentral:lncRNA from 1 species
GGAAUGUGAAGAAAACAGCUGAGGGAAGAAAAGUAACAAACUAUUUAAAAAGAAACUUACUGAAAAAAUCUGACAGCAAGGGGAAAGAAAUUCAGAAGCAAAGGAAAGAGAGAAAUACAGUCUGAAAAAGUGAGAAUGGACUGAAAUUGCUUGUGAGCAGUUAAACCUCAGAGAGUCCCACAAGAAGCUGUGCCUUGGCACCUGAGAGCUGAGAUAGUGGCUCACAGCAGCACCAACCUAAGAUGAGAGCACAAAGCUGAAGUGAGCAGCCUGGGCUGGUGCUGCAGGAUGAAAUCUUACACUUCUGUGCCUAGCAAUGAAGUUUUAAUCACCUCAAUAUACAUCGUUCCACAAUAUAUAUUUUUCUGUCUACCAAAGACAUAAUGGCUCCUCCUUUUAUGGGAAACCAGGAUUUAAUCCAGCCAAUAAAUGACAGAAUCAGAGACCAUCCAGUGUCCUGCUCCAUGGCAAGUCACAGUGAUUUCCCCACAUAAAUAGAGACCAUUUAGAGUCCAGGUAAUGUCUCUAUUGUAUUUAUUCACGCUGCUCAUAAAAAAGCACAUCACAAAAGU